UACGGGGGGGGCAAGCGUUGUUCGGAAUUACUGGGCGUAAAGGGCUCGUAGGCGGCCAACUAAGUCAGACGUGAAAUCCCUCGGCUUAACCGGGGAACUGCGUCUGAUACUGGAUGGCUUGAGUUCGGGAGAGGGAUGCGGAAUUCCAGGUGUAGCGGUGAAAUGCGCAGAUAUCGGGAGGAACACCAAUGGCGAAAGCAGGUAACUGGACUAUUACUGACACUAAACUGCGAAAGCUAGGGGAGCAAACAGG
rnacentral:rRNA from 1 species